ensembl:lncRNA
CACCACCUGAACGCCUCAUCUGUUUUCAACCCAUCACUGGACCAACUGUCGUCAUUCCGCUUUGCUCUCUGCUGUGGAACUUGACUGACACCUGUGCUUUGCCUGUGUGCAGAAGAAGAACAAGGACCAGAUCUCCAGUCUUCUCUCUCACAUCCCAACCCCCCAACCCCUCUAUCCUCUGUCCUGCUCCACCUGUUGUCUCUGCCUUCUUUCCAUCUGUAUUUCACCCUGUGGUUUGUGAGAAAUUUUGCCAAACCAAGAAUCUUAUUGCGGUUUGAUUUCAAAGCCGUGUCUCUCCUGCUCUGUCUGUUCUCUCUGCUAAAUUUUCUCUCUACCUGUUUUUCACUCUUUGGCUUGCUGCUGAGAAAUGCACAAGCCAAUAAAGCAAUAAAGAGUGCAUAUUUUGCCUCAACCUUUGAACAAACUGAACAAACAAAGAAAACUCUACGGUUUGAUUUCAAAACCGUGUCUUUCCUGCUCUGCCUGUUCUCUCUUCUAAAUUUUCUCUCUACCUGUUUUUCACUCUUGGCUUGCUGCUGAAAAAUGCCAAGCCAUUAAAGCAAUAAAGAGUGCAUAUAUUGCCUCUACCUGAGAACAAACUGAACAAACAAAGAAAACUCUAAUUCACGGUUUGAUUGUGAUUUCCCAGCCGUGUCUCUCCUGCUCUGCCUGUUCUCUCUUCUAGAUUUUCUCUCUACCUGUUUUUCAUUCUGGGCUUGCUGCUAAGUUGUGCCAAGCCAAUAAAGACAGUACAUAAUAUUCUCUCGACUGAAGAACAAACUGUCAAAUGAAAGACAACUGUUUCAGACAAAUAAAAACUGAAAUAUAAAAACAAAGACAACAUCUCCUGGUGUGUGCCACUCUUAUCUUGUGAACAUAUUUUCUGAAGACUAAGAAACACUUGCAGGUGUGUGAAAAUGCCAAGGAAGCAGAAAAAGUCAAAAGCUGCAAAACAAC